CAAAUAUAUUAAAAUUGUGACGAAAAAAAAACCACGUGUGUGCCGGCCAGGACCGAGUAUCGAAUAGGUAUUUCCGCAUACAUGGUACUUACUGCGGGUUCGGUGUGUCAGCAAUGCAAUAAACGACGAAAUCGCCGCCUUCCGUCCGCUGUUAUAGACCCAAAAAUAAUUUGUCUCGUACGUCAAAAGACAUUAGAGGAGAGAAAAAUUAAAGCCGUUUCGGACGCAUAAAGAACGUGUUCACCGAAAGGAGGACCAGAGCAAAUGAAAUAAAAGCGAUAAGGAGGACCAGACGCGGUGCGCGCAUUUAUUCGUCGCCGCCGACGGCGACAACCGCGCUACAGUGCAGCAGCGGACACGAAAUGGGAGAAAACUGGUCGCCCGCGGCCCGUACGUCAUACUUAUUAGUGUCUAUUAUAAAUAAUAAUUAAUCACAAAUUGUACUUCUCGACGAUUUUUUGUGCAAUGUUUUCUACCAGAAAUCUACAUGAAACAAAUCAUAUUGAACCAACGACGGAAAACUAUAGAGACAUACCAAAAUUUUAAAAUAAAAUGAACGAUAAAAAAAUAUUUGUGUGUUACCAUAACUCCUACUAAAAUAAUCAAUUCAUUUUGGAAUGAAAUUUUGAAUUGGCGAAUUAUUGAAAAAUAAUAUAUGACAAAUGUGUAAAACCUUNUAUCGAAUAGGUAUUUCCACAUACAUGGUACUUACUGCGGGUUCGGUGUGUCAGCAAUGUAAUAAACGACGAAAUCGCCGCCUUCCGUCCGCUGUUAUAGACCCAAAAAUAAUUUGUCUCGUACGUCAAGACAUUAGAGGAGAGAAAAAUUAAAGCCGUUUCGGACGCAUAAAGAACGAGUUCACCGAUCGGCGGACCAGAGCAAAUGAAAUAAAAGCGAUAAGGAGGACCGGACGCGGUGCGCGCAGCUAUGCGGCGGCGACGACAAC